UGUUGCCUUAAGUGGCGCAACGAGCGCAACCCCUGUCCUUAGUUGCCAGCGGGUCAUGCCGGGAACUCUAGGGAGACUGCCGGUGCCAAACCGGAGGAAGGUGGGGAUGACGUCAAGUCAUCAUGCCCCUUAUGUCCAGGGCUGCAAACAUGCUACAAUGCUCGGUACAAAGGGUUGCGAUCCCGCAAGGGGGAGCGAAUCCCAGAAAGCCGGGCUCAGUUCGGAUCGGGGUCUGCAACUCGACCCCGUGAAGUUGGAGUCGCUAGUAAUCGCAGAUCAGCACUGCUGCGGUGAAUACGUUCCCGGGGCUUGUACACACCGCCCGUCACACCACGAAAGUGGGCAACACCCGAAGCCGGUGGCCUAACCCUUGUGG
rnacentral:rRNA from 1 species